AUUCUCUUAGUAUAAUUAAUAUAACUGACUUCCAAUCAGUAGAUUCUGGUAUAAACGGAAGAGAAUA
rnacentral:tRNA from 1 species